rnacentral:rRNA from 1 species
AGUGAACGCUGGCGGUAGGCCUAACACAUGCAAGUCGAACGGCAGCACAGUAAGAGCUUGCUCUUACGGGUGGCGAGUGGCGGACGGGUGAGGAAUACAUCGGAAUCUACUUUUUCGUGGGGGAUAACGUAGGGAAACUUACGCUAAUACCGCAUACGACCUACGGGUGAAAGCAGGGGAUCUUCGGACCUUGCGCGAUUGAAUGAGCCGAUGUCGGAUUAGCUAGUUGGCGGGGUAAAGGCCCACCAAGGCGACGAUCCGUAGCUGGUCUGAGAGGAUGAUCAGCCACACUGGAACUGAGACACGGUCCAGACUCCUACGGGAGGCAGCAGUGGAGAAUAUUGGACAAUGGGCGCAAGCCUGAUCCAGCCAUACCGCGUGGGUGAAGAAGGCCCUCGGGUUGUAAAGCCCUUUUGUUGGGAAAGAAAAGCAGCAGGUUAAUACCCCGCUGUUCUGACGGUACCCAAAGAAUAAGCACCGGCUAACUUCGUG